AUACGUAGGUGGCGAGCGUUGUCCGGAAUUACUGGGCGUAAAGGGUGCGUAGGCGGCUCUGCAAGUCAGGUGUGAAAACCAUCGGCUCAACUGAUGGACUGCAUUUGAAACUGUGGGGCUUGAGUGAAGUAGAGGCAGGUGGAAUUCCCGGUGUAGCGGUGGAAUGCGUAGAGAUCGGGAGGAACACCAGUGGCGAAGGCGGCCUGCUGGGCUUUAACUGACGCUGAGGCACGAAAGCAUGGGUAGCAAGCAGGAUUAGAUACCCUGGUAGUCCAUGCUGUAAACGAUGAUUACUAGGUGUGGGUGGUCUGACCCCGUCCGUGCCGGAGUUAACACAAUAAGUAAUCCACCUGGGGAGUAGGACCGCAAGGUUGAA
rnacentral:rRNA from 1 species